rnacentral:tRNA from 3 species
GGAAGGGUGCCAGAGCGGCCGAAUGGGACGGUCUCGAAAACCGUUGUGGGUUUGUGCCCACCGUGGGUUCAAAUCCCACCUCUUCCGCCA